rnacentral:rRNA from 1 species
UACGGAGGGUGCAAGCGUUGUUCGGAUUUAUUGGGCGUAAAGCGCGUGUAGGCGGUUUCUUAAGUCUGAUGUGAAAGCCCUGGGCUCAACCCAGGAAGUGCAUUGGAUACUGGGAGACUUGAAUACGGGAGAGGGUAGUGGAAUUCCUAGUGUAGGAGUGAAAUCCGUAGAUAUUAGGAGGAACACCGGUGGCGAAGGCGGCUACCUGGACCGAUAUUGACGCUGAGACGCGGAAGCGUGGGGAGCAAACAGG